rnacentral:rRNA from 1 species
GACGAACGCUGGCGGCGUGCCUAAUGCAUGCAAGUCGAGCGACGCACAUCGGAGGGGUAACCCACCGAUAUGACGGAGCGGCGAACGGGUGAGUAACACGUGAGCAACCUGCCCCACAGAUCGGGUUAGCCCAGGGAAACCUGGAUUAAUACCGAAUACCCACGCGUAACCACAUGAUUGUUCGAGGAAUUGCCUUUGUGCUGUGGGAUGGGCGCGCGGCUUAUCAGCUAGUUGGUGGGGUAACGGCUUACCAAGGCAUCGACGAGUAGCUGGGCUGAGAGGAAGAGCACCGACACUGGGACUGGGACGCGGCCCAGACUCCUACGGGAGGCAGGAGCAGGGAAUCUAGCGCAAUGGGCGAAGGCAUGACGCAGCAACGACGCGAAGGGGAUGAAAGCAUUCGAGUAGUAAACCCCAUUCAGGAGGGAAGAAAUUGACGGUACCUCCAAAAGAAGCCCCGGCUAACUACGUG